GCCAACUAGCUAGCCUAAUUAUUAAUAUAACCAAACAAUCUACUUAACAAAACAUGACCUAACAUCAUAAAUUAAACCAUUUUUUUACCUGAGUAUGGGAGACAGAAAAGGUUCAACCCAGAGCAAUAGAAAAAGUACCGCAAGGGAAAGCUGAAAGAGAAGUGAAACAACUUAUAUAAGCGCCAAGAAACAAAGACUAAACCUUGUACCUUUUGCAUCAUGAUUUAGCCAGCACCCUCAAGCAAAGAGACCUUUAGUUUGAAACCCCGAAACCAAGUGAGCUACCCCGAGACAGCCUAUGUUAAUUUUAGGGCCAACCCAUCUCUGUGGCAAAAGAGUGGGAAGAGCUCCGGGUAGAAGUGACAGACCUACCGAACUUGGUGAUAGCUGGUUGCCUGAGAAAUGGAUAAGAGUUCAGCCUCGCACACCCCGCAUCAACUAAUGAAUUAUUAAGAUUCGCGGGAAAUAUGCGAGAGUUAGUUAAAGGGGGUACAGCCCCUUAAACAAAGGAUACAACCUUUCCAGGAGGAUAAAGAUCAUAGUACAUAAGACAUACUGUCUCAGUGGGCCUGAAAGCAGCCACCUAAACAGAAAGCGUUAAAGCUCGGACAGAAAGAAGUUUAUUAUACCGAUAAUAAAUCUUACUCCCCUAAAUGUAUCAGGCCAACCCAUGCCUACAUGGAAGAGAUUAUGCUAAAAUGAGUAACAAGAAGACUUGUUCUUCUCCCGGCACAAGUGUAGACCAGAUCGGACCAACCACUGGAAAUUAACGAACCCAACCCAAGAGGGUACUGUGAACAAUAAGAACCUCAAGAAGACCUCACAGCUAAAUAAUCGUUAACCCCACACUGGCGUGCCAUUUCAAGGGAAAGACUAAAAGAAGGGGAAGGAACUCGGCAAACACAAGCCUCGCCUGUUUACCAAAAACAUCGCCUCUUGCAAUAUUUUAAGUAUAAGAGGUCCAGCCUGCCCAGUGACUUCGGGUUCAACGGCCGCGGUAUUCUGACCGUGCAAAGGUAGCGCAAUCACUUGUCUCUUAAAUAGAGACCUGUAUGAAUGGCUAGACGAGGGCUUAACUGUCUCCCCCCUCCGGUCAGUGAAAUUGAUCUAUCCGUGCAGAAGCGGGUAUAAUUUUACAAGACGAGAAGACCCUUUGGAGCUUAAGGUACAACAUUCAACCACGUUAAACCACUUCAUCAAGAGCAAGAACUUAAUGGCAUAUGAACCUCUACCUUCGGUUGGGGCGACCAGGGAGCAAAAAUGAACCUCCCAGUGGACCGGGCCAUAACUCCUGAAGCCAAAAGAGACAUCUUUAGGCCGCAGAACAUCUGACCAAUAAUGAUCCGGCUGAAAGCCGAUCAACGAACCAAGUUACCCUAGGGAUAACAGCGCAAUCCUCUCCCAGAGUCCAUAUCUACGAGGGGGUUUACGACCUCGAUGUUGGAUCAGGACAUCCUAAUGGUGCAGCCGCUAUUAAGGGUUCGUUUGUUCAACGAUUAAAGUCCUACGUGAUCUGAGUUCAGACCGGAGUAAUCCAGGUCAGUUUCUAUCUGUAACGCUACUCUUCCUAGUACGAAAGGAUUGGAAAAGGGGGGCCCAUACUUAAAGCAUGCCCCGCCCCUAAUUAAUGAAAACAAAUAAAUUCACACAAAGGGAGGGCCAAAACCCCACCACCCGAAAUAAGGACAU
rnacentral:rRNA from 1 species